rnacentral:snoRNA from 1 species
AAUCCGUGUUAUGGGCACUGGUGAAGUAAACCCUUGUAUCGUUUCCAAGUCUCUAAAUAGCAUUCUAAGUCCAUUUGCUGAAAAGUGGUGAUCUCAUCCCUUAGCUU